rnacentral:rRNA from 1 species
GACGAACGCUGGCGGCGUGCCUAAUACAUGCAAGUAGAACGCUGAAGGAGGAGCUUGCUUCUCCGGAUGAGUUGCGAACGGGUGAGUAACGCGUAGGUAACCUGCCUGGGAGCGGGGGAUAACUAUUGGAAACGAUAGCUAAUACCGCAUAACAGUAGAUGUUGCAUGACAUUUGCUUAAAAGGUGCAAUUGCAUCACUACCAGAUGGACCUGCGUUGUAUUAGCUAGUUGGUGAGGUAACGGCUCACCAAGGCGACGAUACAUAGCCGACCUGAGAGGGGGAUCGGCCACACUGGGACUGAGACACGGCCCAGACUCCUACGGGAGGCAGCAGUAGGGAAUCUUCGGCAAUGGAGGGAAGUCUGACCGAGGAACGCCGCGUGAGUGAAGAAGGGUUUCGGAUCGUAAAGCUCUGUUGUAAGGGAAGAACAGGUGUGAGAGUGGAAAGUUCACACUGUGACGGUAUCUAACCAGAAAGGGACGGCUAACUACGUG